GCGCCCAUAGCUCAGUGGUUAGAGCACCGGCCUUAUAAGCCGGGGGUCGAUGGUUCAAGUCCAUCUGGGCGCACCA
rnacentral:tRNA from 2 species